rnacentral:rRNA from 1 species
AGAACGAACGCUGGCGGCAUGCCUAACACAUGCAAGUCGAACGUGAUCCAGGCUUCGGCCUGGUGAAAGUGGCAGACGGGUGAGUAACGCGUGGGAACCUGCCCUGUGGUAGGGAAUAACCGUGGGAAACUGCGGCUAAUACCCUAUGAGUCCUUCGGGAGAAAGAUUUAUCGCCAUAGGAGGGGCCCGCGUCGGAUUAGGUAGUUGGUGGGGUAACGGCCUACCAAGCCUUCGAUCCGUAGCUGGUCUGAGAGGAUGAUCAGCCACACUGGGACUGAGAUACGGCCCAGACUCCUACGGGAGGCAGCAGUGGGGAAUAUUGGACAAUGGGGGCAACCCUGAUCCAGCAAUGCCGCGUGGAUGAUGAAGGCCUUCGGGUUGUAAAGUCCUUUCGGCGGGGAAGAUGAUGACGGUACCCGCGAGAAGAAGCCCCGGCUAACUUCGUGCCAGCAGCCGC